UUGAACGCUGGCGGCAUGCCUUACACAUGCCAGUCGAACGGCAGCGCGGACUUCGGUCUGGCGGCGAGUGGCGAACGGGUGAGUAAUACAUCGGAACGUACCCUGUUGUGGGGGAUAACUAGUCGAAAGAUUAGCUAAUACCGCAUACGACCUGAGGGUGAAAGUGGGGGACCGCAAGGCCUCACGCAGCAGGGGCGGCCGAUGUCUGAUUAGCUAGUUGGUGGGGUAAAGGCCCACCAAGGCGACGAUCAGUAGCUAGUCUGAGAGGACGAUCAGCCACACUGGGACUGAGACACGGCCCAGACUCCUACGGGAGGCAGCAGUGGGGAAUUUUGGACAAUGGGGGCAACCCUGAUCCAGCAAUGCCGCGUGUGUGAAGAAGGCCUUCGGGUUGUAAAGCACUUUUGUCCGGAAAGAAAUCGCGCUGGUUAAUACCUGGCGUGGAUGACGGUACCGGAAGAAUAAGCACCGGCUAACUACGUG
rnacentral:rRNA from 1 species